AACGUAGGAGGCAAGCGUUAUCCGGAGUUACUGGGCGUAAAGCGUGCGUAGGCGGAAGAGUAAGUGGGUGGUGAAAGCGCCCGGCUAAACCGGGCGAGGUCCAUUCAGACUGCUGUUCUAGAGGCGGAUAGAGGAGUGCGGAAUUCCGGGUGUAGCGGUGAAGUGUGUAGAGAUCCGGAGGAACACCAGUGGUGCAAACGGCGCUCUGGGUCCGUACUGACGCUGAAGCACGAAAGCGUGGGGAGCAAACAGG
rnacentral:rRNA from 1 species